rnacentral:rRNA from 1 species
CGGGGUGAGUAAUGCUUGGAAAUCUGGCCUAUGGAGGGGGAUAACUACGGGAAACUGUAGCUAAUACCGCGUAGUGUCGAGAGACGAAAGUGCGGGACCGAAAGGCCGCAUGCCAUGAGAUGAGCCCAAGUGGGAUUAGGUAGUUGGUGGGGUAAAGGCCUACCAAGCCUGCGAUCUCUAGCUGGUCUGAGAGGAUGGCCAGCCACACUGGAACUGAGACACGGUCCAG